GACGAACCGUGCAAACGUUGUUCGGAAUCACUGGGCUUAAAGGGCGCGUAGGCGGGCCAGCCAGUCUGUGGUGAAAUCCUCCAGCUUAACUGGAGAAGUGCCGUGGAUACUGCUGGCCUCGAGGAGGGUAGGGGCAUCUGGAACGGUCGGUGGAGCGGUGAAAUGCGUUGAUAUCGACCGGAACUCCGGUGGCGAAGGCGAGGUGCUGGACCCUUUCUGACGCUGAUGCGCGAAAGCCAGGGGAGCAAACGGG
rnacentral:rRNA from 1 species